CACACACACACACACACACACACACACACUGCUACUACCACCACCAACAGCAACAGAACCACCAAAAUAAUAGAAAUCAACAAAUACUGCUUAUUCAUAUUUCUCAACAUCAAUGGUUUAAAUUCCCAGUAAAAGUACAUUGACUAACAGAAUGGAUAUGAAAACAGCAUCUAUCCUUCUGCUGCAUCCAAAAAAUACACCUUAACAUCAGUGGUUAAAGGGUAAAAGAGUAGACAAUGAUAUUUCAAGAAAAUGGACCUAAGCAGCAAUGGACUUUAGCUGGUUUAACAACUUUAAUAUCUGACAAAAUUGACUUUAGAAUAAAAUGAAUAUGGAUAGCUAAGGAUGAAUACUACAUACCCAUCAAAGGAACAAUCCACCAAUGGUGCAUUGCAAUUCUUAACAUCUAUACACUAAACACAAGUUUAUCCAAGUUUGUAAAAGAAACACUACUAUAGCUUAAAUCACAGUUUGACUCCCACACAUUGAUAGUGGGAGACUUCCGUGUCCCACUUAUAUUAGUCAGGUCUCUCUUGAGUCACAAAACUUAUGGAAUGAGCAUCUAUCUAUCUAUGGGAACUUAUUGGAAUAACAUAGAGGUGGCCAUCCAAUAAUGGUUAGCUGUGAACGGAAAGUCCAAGAAUCUAGUAGUUGCUCAGUCCCAGGAGGCUGAGUAUCUCAGCUGGUCUUCAUAUGCUGGAAUCCUAAAAAAGUAGGCUCCCAUGCCAGUUAAGAAAUGGAUAUGCUGACGAGGGGAGGGCAGACAGGCGAAAAAUGAACUAAAUCUUCCUUCUUCUAUGUCUUUACAUAGGUUUCCAGUAGAAGGUAUAGCCCAGAUUAAAGAUGUGCCUUCCUGGCUCAAGGUCUGGAUUAAAGGCGUAUGUCAUCUCAUCAUCCAAUUUUAAGAUCUAGAUUAGAGGCAAGUUGUCUUUCUGCCUCAAGAUCAGGAUCACAACUCUGCUCUCCAUUUCUGGAUUAUAGUUCAUUUCAGAUACAGUCAAGUUGACAACCAAGAAUAGUCAUCACAGUCCAUCCCUUGUCAACUUGACACACAAUCACACCUCCUUCUGUCAUAAUUAACUUCCAAAUGAAAACAAUAACCUGGUCAUAACAAUGCCUAAACAUAACUAUCAUGUAGACAAUCACAAAUGCAUUAUAUAUUUAACCAGGUCAUAAUUAAGCCUAACAUGAUAUAACUAUCCAUUGAACAACUGCAAAUGCUUUAUAAAUUUCAAAUAGGUGGCAAUGUCCCUUGGGGGACAGCCUAUUAGUAUUCUUUUCAUUGAUAUUACAACAUAUAAUAAGGAAAUUGAAAGAAAACACAAAUAUCUGUACAAGUACAUUCUUUUUUGGAAGGAAAGGGUUUAUUUGGCUUACACUUCACAUUAUCACAGUCCAUUAUUGAAGGACUCAGAGUAGGAACCUGGAGGUAGGUACUGAACAAGAAGCCAUGGAGGAACACUUUUAAUUGUGUUUUUUUUUUAAUUUAACAUAAUUUCUUUAUUGAAUCUUUGGUAAUUUCACAUCAUGCAUCCAAAUUCUGCUCAACUCCCAGUCCCUCCAUAUCCUCCCUUCACCCUUACAGCAUCCUGCAAAAAUAAAAUUAAAAAAAAAAUCAAAACAAAACAAAACUGGUGUGGAUCACAUGGCAACUAUUACUGCCUGACAAAGUUCCAUCAUUUCAACAUUGCUGACCACACUUCUGCAGUACCUUUUAAAUUUUAUUUUUAAUGAUUCUCAAUAUUAAUAUCUUUUUCUUUGGGAAAUUUUGUGUGGCCUUUGGUAAAGAAUGAAAAUGUAUACAAUGGUAGCCUCUCUAAACAAAAUAAUAAUUCUUUGGGAAAAAAAAUCCUUGCCAUCAUGGAACCAUGAAUCCCAUUGUGCCCUCCUAAUUAUAUCAAGAAUAGGAAAGUUAGAGAUUUACUAGACACACCUGAUCCCAAGGAGAAAUGUCUACAAUUCAGAUUCAGAGCCUGAGGCCAUUUAGGACAAGAGUUCAGUUCAUAAAUAUAGGGAAAUCAGAAUGGUUCAGUUUAAUGGGGAAAGAGUUAGGCAUCAGGAUCUUCCCUUUUGGGAGCAUUAUGAGGGGAGCAUACCCAUAUACCAAGACUGAGAAAUUGUACUAUGGUAUCUGGUCCGCAAGUAAGGCAUUUGGAUAAGGGUCUUCAUUCUCUCCAGUGCUUGAGGAAAGUUUCUGUUUGCUAAAGCAAUCAUCCUCCUUAUCUCUGGCAAAAGGAACUUGUGGCCAUUUAACUAACAUAUGACUGGUACCUAUUGCCAAGGUCAAGGUUACUCAAACCCUGAUUUCAAGCCACACUCCAGCUCACAUGCCCUCGGUGUAUUCUUUUUUUUUUUUUUUUUUCAAUUAAAUUCUCCUGUCAGCCAUCCUGAUUCACCCUCAGAUCCUGUCCUGUUUCCUCCCCCAACUCCACACAUCCUCUUUGGGACCUGAACCCCUCUGCUGAAGCAGGUCUUCAGCACAAAACAAAAUAAGCAAGCAAACAAAAAAGAAAACAAAACCAAAAACAAAAUUUCUCUUCGAUCCUCCAUCUUUUCUGACUCUCCAACACCUCUUCAUUUGUUCUGGUGGCAUUGAGAACCAUGAUGUGUCACAUAGUAUACCCUUUUGUUAAAUCAGCCAUACAUGCAAAUGUUCAUUGCAAUGUGUCAUAGGUUCAAGGCCUCUGGUUUCUGGUACACCAAUAUCACUAAAUCCUCACCUAAACUCCCCUCAGAUAUCUCUUGGCUGCCUGGAUUCAUAGAAAUCCUGUGGGUAUCAUUCCACAGAACCCACCCCUUCAUGAGCAUCCAGAGGUAGAUGUUAAGGUAGACCAAGGCAAGGACUAGGCUGUGGGCCUGAGUGGUAGUUGAGCUGGACAGUCCUCCCUAUGUCAAUGUUGUCAUGGUCAAUUCUCCCUCACCCCUGUUGAGUGGUGGCACCAUCUCUCCCAAGUGCCAGGGACAGCUCUUCCAUGAGGGUUGGGACCAGCUUUCUUGUUGCAGUGUUCAGCAAGGUGCAGGACCAGCUAUCCCAGGGCCAGUGAAUGAUGCGGCUGGCUCAGCAUGACCCUCUGAUUUUAUCACUCAUGGUCCCUAUGGCCCCCUGAGGUGACUCGGACCACAUACAUCAAUACAGACCACAGCUGCAACAGGAUCAUGGACCCAGACAUGGCCCUUGGCAUCAGCUUGGGCCCAGAUGACAUCCUGAUUCUGGUGGAAGCACAGGCCACUCAGAACAGGAUGGUUUUUCUGGCAAUAUGGCCCCCAGACACCAGUUGGUUGUGGCCCAACUCCAGGCUUUCCUGUAACCUUUGGUGGCAACAUGGACCUUGGACCUCAACACAGACCCCAGUUGUGGUAGGACAAUGAACCCAGACAGGGUCCUCAGCACCAGCUGGGCCUGGAUAUCACCAUUACCCUGGGUGGCAGUGCAGUACAAAUACAUUCUUAACAAAAUACAACAAAAGCACUCGUGUCUGUUGUCCUCAUUUCUGCAACUGGUCACAUGACCUUACAUGGUAUUUAUAUCUACCUUUCUCUACUACCCACAUGUAUUUCCUCUACUCUCUUCAAGUAACUUCAACAGGUCUUGGCUCUUCUUAUGUAGUAUUCAUAUCUUCAUUCCUCAUGGGUCUGUGAACUUUGUCAUCCUGCCUAGAUUAGGCUGUAGUAGCUUCCAUUGACUUUAAUCAUAGGACAUGGUGGCAUCAAGAGAUGCCCUAAAGAUCACCUGUAUUCCAGACAUAAUCCUUAUCUCAGUGUGGAGAGGCAAUUCAAUUUCUACAUGAUAAUCUACAUAUAUCAUCCCUCCUAACACUGUUUGUUGUUCUGUUCUUAGCCUGUUGGGUUAAGAGAGUUAAAAGCCCAAAGUGACUAAGGGGAAGUCUGAAUUUCCAGUUCAAUGGAAUGUUUGUUAUGACUCCUAGCAGGGGCACUCCCCGCUCCAGAACCAAAACUUCUAGGACAGUAGAACUUGGAGUUGUGGGAAUAGGAAGAAAAAACUUUCCUAGUGGGUCACUAGGGGUGAUGGGGAGAGGAACUAUCCCCUUUCCACCUCUUAGUUCCUGGACCUGUGGAUCCUGGCUAUGGGAGAAACAAUACCAUAUAUUGGAUGUUGAUUCAAAGCAUGUACUGGCUUCUGGAGUACCCUGCUCAAGCCCUCUAUGCUGCUGACACCUAGUUGGCACUGUAACUGUGUCCACAAAAGGUCAUUCCAUCUUUCUAUUGAGCCAGCUGCUUCAGGAUUGUGGGGAAAAUUGUAAGGCUAGUGGAUUCCAUAAUCAUGGGCCCAUAGUCACACUGCUCUGAUUAUGAAUUGAAUUCCCUGGUCAGAAGCAAUACUGUAUGGAAUACCGUUUCAAUGGAUAAGGCAUUCUAUAAGUCCAUAAGUAGUUUUGGCAGAAACACUAUGUGUAGGAAAGGCUAAUCCAUAACCAGUAUCUACUCCAGGGCAAAGCAUUGUCUUUUCCACAAAGGAAGUGGUCCAGUGUAGACAACCUGCCACCAACUUGCUGGUUGGUCAUCCUGGGGAAUGGUGCCAUAUCUGGGGCUCAGUGUUCGUCUCUGUUGUUGGAGGUUUUGGCACUCAGCAGCAGGUGUAGCCAAGUCAGCCUCGGUGUGUAGAAAUCUAUGUUGGGGAGCCCAGGCAUAGCCCCCAUCUCUGCCACCAUGGCCACUUUGUUCAUGGGCCCAUUGGGCAAUGACAGGAAUGGCUGGAGAAAGAGGCUGACUGUCUACAGAAUGGGUCAUCCUAUCUACUUUUUUAUUAACUCCUCCUCACUUGAAGUACCUUUGGUCAGCAUUUACAUGGAACACAAGUAUCUUCACAUCCUUUGCCCAUUUGGACAGAUCUAUCCACAUACUUGUUCCCUCGAUGUCUUUCUCACCAAUUUUCCAAUCAUGCUCUUUCCAUGUCCCUGACCAUCCAGUGAAUCCAUUGGCUAUAAGCCAUGAAUCAGUGAACAGUUGCACAUCUGGCCAUUUCUCUUUCCAAACAAACUGUAUUACCACAUGUAGUACCUAAAGUUCUACCCACUUUGAAGAUUUCCCUUUACCAGUAUCUUUCAGGGUUGUCUCAGAAAUGGGUUGAAAGUCUAUAGCUUUCUACUUCUGGGUAGUGCCUGCAUAACAUACAGCAGCAUCAGUAAACCAGGCUCUAAUCUUCUCUUCUUCAGUCAACUGAUCAUAGGAAACAUUCUAUGAGUGUAACAGGUCUUUCUUUGGACAGCCAGUGUUAUGGAAUAAUCCUUUUGUACACUGUGAAGAUGUGUCACUCUAAUUGGCUUAAUAAAAAGUUGAAUGACCAAUAGCUAGGAAGGAUUUUCAGGGCAGAGAAGGUGCUGAGGAAAAGAAGAGAGUAACCAAGAGACACAGAGCAAGCAGGAUGGGCAAUACGAAGAUAAGGUAAUAAAGCCAUGAGGCAGAAAGUAAAUUAAUUAAAAUAGGUUAAUUUAAGUUAGAAGAGCUAGUUAGAAAUAAGUCUAAGCUAUUGGAUGAGCUCUCAUAAUUAAUAAUGUGUCCAUGUUAUUGUGGAACCAAUGGUCCCAAGGAAAAAGUCCAACUACAAAUGACAUCCAACAUGGGGGCACAUAUUUCCACGUAAGACCUGAGACAGCAUAAGAAAAAAAAAGAUUACAAACACACGAAAAUGGAGCCAAACAUGGCUUCCUAGUCCCACAGUCUUUCAUACAACUGUGGUAUAGAGAGGCAUCUCCCAGCCGCUGCUUGCAGACUUAAGUCAUCAGCAUUCUAUGAGCUAAGCUGGGCAUGGCUUGAAUUUUUCUCAUGCAGACAGAAAAGGUUACAGAUAUGCAGUGAAGCAGGUUCAGACAGAAAAUGCCUCUAAACAGGUUACAGUGCAUUUAUCAAUAUGAGUAGGCUAAAGGGUAGACAGUCAUAAAAACUAGUGCAGAAAUAAUAAGGUAAAAUCUUUAAAAAGAGAAGCAAAGUAAUCCAAAAAAAGCCAUGUAAGGGUGAAAAAUUUUAUAACACAGGAAGUUUGGACCUUAUAUGAUACUUUAUUAAUUUUGAAUUUUUUGAAUGCUAAUAAACACACAACAGCUGCCAAGAGACAUUGGAUUGUGGAAGGGACUGCUGAAUUAAACCAACCUAUAUAUUUUAAAAAUGUCUCAACUUAAAAAUGGAAGUCAAAUAAAAUGUAUUAUGUUUGGGAAGAGGUUAUGCUUUUGUUUCCAUAGGAAAAGAAAAGCUGUGGAUUCCUUCCAGGUUAAUAGAGAUCAGAUUUGACUUGGGAAGACCUCUUCAGUAUCUUGGCUAUAGACAUAGGGGAGGAACCAAGAAAGACUACAGGAUAGGUGAUGGGUAAGCUGAUCUCUCUACACAGGAACAGCUUGGAGACAAGAUGAUGUAUGAUGAAUAUUGUUAGCUACAGAGUCCUCAUGACUAAUUAUCACAUGCCAUUCUUUCAUAUGGCAUGGAUAGAGAUUUAUAUUACAGUUUGGUUAUGCAGGCCAAAUGAACUUAUAAAUUUGAGAGAUGUCUUUAACCUUUUCAAACAUAGAACAAAAAACAUCUUUAAUUGACUUGUGCACAUUGUAUAUUCCAUACUUGUGUUAAUGCAGAUAUAUAUUUUUGAAAGUUUAUGCAUUUUCAGAGGAAGAGGACCACAACACCAAUGAAAAUGGGUGACCCAGAGGAUCCAGUCUCCCAGAGUACCUCUGUUACAGAUUCCUUAGAGUUCUACAUCCAGAACAGCUUCAAAGACUGCUGACUGAGAUGGUCACAGACUAUUCCAGUCAGACUUAAGACAAGCCCUACAUUUUCCUGCUGUACUGGGACUAGAAAACAGCUAGCUUUCCCAGGACUUGACCAUUAUCUUAAUUUUUUUCAGGGUCCCUUAAAGAUGUCAGCACCCCAAGACAACAGGAAGCAGUCUAGAGAACACAAUGCCCAUAUACCCAAGAGUUGCUGGCCAGCAAGGAAGACUCCUGUGGGCAGGCUCUCCUAUCAAAACCCCCUAUCGGACCAUGCAAUCUACAAGAUCUAUGCCCUACCCAAAACCUACCCACCCUCCGGUGACUCUGGUGGCUUCCUGAGACACAGAAUUUACCAGCAUUCAUUGGACCAAGAGUGGCUCCCUGAGACAAAGAAUCUGCCAGCUCUCAUUAGACCAAGAGCAGCUACCUGAGACACCAACACAGCUAGCACAAAUUAGAACAAGAGAGCUCGCUCAGAAACAGGCACCUCUUGUACCUAUUGGAGGAAGAGAUGGGUAGGCAGACACCAGUGCAAAAAUACAUGAAAUAACAUAAAAAGCAAUAUGGCAUCACCAGAACCUAGCCCUUCUACAACAGCAAGACCUGAACAUCACAACAUAGAAGAAGCAGAAGAAAGUAACCUUAAAAAUAACUUUAUGAAGAUGAUAGAGGUCUUUAAAGAGGAAAUGAGAAGUUCUCUUAAAGAAAUUGAGGAAAAGAUAAACAAAAAAUAGGAAAAAAAAAUCAAUACAUCCCUUAAAGAAAGCCAAGAAAACCAUGAAAAAGCAAUUAAAUUUGUGAGGGAAACAGUUCAAGACCUAAAAAGGGAAAUAGAAACAAUGAAGAAGACACAAACACAGGGAAUGCUGGAAAUAGAAAAACUGAGUAAAUGAACAGGAACUACAGAUGCAAGCAUAAUCAACAAAAUAUAAGAGAUGGAAGAGAGAAUCUCUGGCAUAGAGGAUAAUAAUAGAAGAAAUAGAUUCAUUUGUCAAAGAAAGGACCAAAGCCAAAAAUGUCACAAAACAAAAUAUCCAGGAAAUCUGGUACAUCAUGAAAAGGUCAAACCUAAGAAUGACAGGGAUAGAAGAAGGAGAAGAAUACUAACUCAAAGGCACAGAAAAAUGUAUUCAACAAAAUCAUGGAAGAAAACUUUCCCAACUUAAAGAAGGAAAUGCCUAUGAAGAUACAAGAAGCUUAUAGAACACCAAAUAGACUAGACCCCCCAAAAAGUUCCCUCAUCACAUAAUAAUUAAACCACUAAACAUACAUGUGGUGGUAUUUUACUUGUACUGAAAUGUGAUUUUAAUUGUAUGUUAAUAAAUAAAGUUGUCUGGGGGUCAGA